rnacentral:rRNA from 1 species
UACGUAGGGGGGCUAGCGUUGUCCGGAAUCAUUGGGCGUAAAGCGCGUGUAGGCGGUCCGGUAAGUCCGCUGUGAAAGUCGGGGGCUCAACCCUCGGAUGCCGGUGGAUACUGUCGGGCUUGAGUACGGAAGAGGCGAGUGGAAUUCCUGGUGUAGCGGUGAAAUGCGCAGAUAUCAGGAGGAACACCAAUUGCGAAGGCAGCUCGCUGGGACGUUACUGACGCUGGAGACGCGAAAGCGUGGGGAGCAAACAGG